AGAGUUUGAUCCUGGCUCAGGACGAACGCUGGCGGCGUGCUUAACACAUGCAAGUCGAACGGAAAGGCCCACCACCUUGGUGGUGGGUACUCGAGUGGCGAACGGGGGAGUAACACGUGGGUGAUCUGCCCCGCACUGUGGGAUAAGCCUGGGAAACUGGGUCUAAUACCACAUACGACCAUGGCGUAGGGGUCAUGGUGGAAAGCUUUUGCGGUGUGGGAUGAGCCCGCGGCCUAUCAGCUUGUUGGUGGGGUAAUGGCCUACCAAGGCGGCGACGGGUAGCCGGCCUGAGAGGGUGGACGGCCACAUUGGGACUGAGACACGGCCCAGACUCCUACGGGAGGCAGCAGUGGGGAAUAUUGCACAAUGGGCGCAAGCCUGAUGCAGCGACGCCGCGUGGGGGAUGGAAGGCCUUCGGGUUGUAAACUCCUUUCGCCCGGGACGAAGCCCACCUGGUGGGUGACGGUACCGUGGAGAAGAAGCACCGGCUAACUACGUGCCAGCAGCCGCGGUAAUACGUAGGGUGCAAGCGUUGUCCGGAUUUACUGGGCGUAAAGAGCUCGUAGGUGGUGUGUCGCGUCGUCUGUGAAAUUCCGGGGCUUAACUCCGGGCGUGCAGGCGAUACGGGCACGACUAGAGUGCUGUAGGGGUAACUGGAAUUCCUGGUGUAGCGGUGAAAUGCGCAGAUAUCAGGAGGAACACCGAUGGCGAAGGCAGGUUACUGGGCAGUUACUGACGCUGAGGAGCGAAAGCAUGGGGAGCGAACAGGAUUAGAUACCCUGGUAGUCCAUGCCGUAAACGUUGGGCACUAGGUGUGGGGGACAUUCCACGUUUUCCGCGCCGUAGCUAACGCAUUAAGUGCCCCGCCUGGGGAGUACGGCCGCAAGGCUAAAACUCAAAGGAAUUGACGGGGGCCCGCACAAGCGGCGGAGCAUGUGGAUUAAUUCGAUGCAACGCGAAGAACCUUACCUGGGUUUGACAUGCACCAGAUCGGCGUAGAGAUACGUCCUCCCUUGUGGUUGGUGCACAGGUGGUGCAUGGUUGUCGUCAGCUCGUGUCGUGAGAUGUUGGGUUAAGUCCCGCAACGAGCGCAACCC
rnacentral:rRNA from 1 species